rnacentral:rRNA from 1 species
ACAAAAACAUCUUUUCUUGUUAGUUUUUGAAGUAUGGCCUGCCCACUGACUUUUUGUUGAAGGGCCGCGGUAUUUUGACCGUGCAAAGGUAGCAUAAUCAUUAGUUCUUUAAUUGUGAUCUGGUAUGAAUGGCUUGACGAGACAUGUACUGUCUUAGGUGUUAGAAUAUUUUAUUGAAUUUGGUUUUUGAGUUAAAAUUCUUAAAUGUUUUUAUGGGACGAGAAGACCCUAUAGAGUUUAACAUUUGUAUUUGCUUUCUUUGUUUUGUUUGUUUUUAUUUUGUGAAGUAAUUUAAGUGUUUUGUUGGGGUGAUGGGAGGAAUUUAUUUAACUCCUCUUUGUUUGUUUUAUAUUUAUUUAUAUUUUUUUGAUCCAUUUAUUUUGAUUAUAAGAUUAAAUUACCUUAGGGAUAACAGCGUUAUCUUCCUUGAGAGUUCUUAUUGGCGGGAGGGUUUGCGACCUCGAUGUUGGAUUAAGGUUAAUUUUUGGUGUAGGAGCUGAAAAUGAUUGGGUC